AAGUCGUAACAAGGUUUCCGUAGGUGAACCUGCGGAAGGAUCAUUACCGAUUUUAGCGAACCUGAUCUUUGAUCAUGGUCUCGCGAAAACUUGUAUUUAAAACCCCACUCUUAUAAAUUGAAUCAUUUUAUAUGUAUAUAAUAAAUAAAGAUCACUUUCAACAACGGAUCUCUUGGCUCUC
rnacentral:misc_RNA from 1 species